rnacentral:rRNA from 1 species
UUAACUGUAAAACUGCCAUUGAUACUGCAGGUCUUGGAGUGUUNUUGAAGUAGCUGGAANUAAGUAGUGUAGCUNUAAAAUGCAUAGAUAGUAGUNAGAACCACCAACUGCGAAGGCAGGUUACUAAGCAACAACUGACGCUGAUGAACGAAAGNGUGGGGAGNNNNNNGGAUUAGAUACCNUGGUAGUCCACGCCGUAAACGAUGCUACCUCGUUUUUGGAUUGUCGGAUUCAGAGCAUAAGCGAAAGUGAUAAGUUAGCCCCNUGGGGAGUACAGACGCAAGUCUGAAACUCAAAGGAAUUCACGGGGGCCCGCACAAGCGGUGGAUUAUGUGGUUUAAUUCGAUGAUACGCGAGGAACCUUCCCAAGGCUUAAAUGGGAAAUGACAGGUUUAGAAAUAGACUUUUNUUCGGACAUUUUUCAAGGUGCUGCAUGGUUGUCGUCAGCUCGUGCCGUGAGGUGUUAGGUUAAGUCGUGCAACGAGCGCAACCCCUGUCACUAGUUGCCAUCAUUCAGUUGGGGACUCUAGUGAGACUGCCUACGCAAGUAGAGAGGAAGGUGGGGAUGACGUCAAAUCAUCACGGCCCUUACGCCUUGGGCCACACACGUAAUACAAUGGCCAGUACAGAGGGCAGCUACCAGGUGACUGGAUGCGAAUCUCGAAAGCUGGUCUCAGUUCGGAUUGGAGUCUGCAACUCGACUCUAUGAAGCUGGAAUCGCUAGUAAUCGCGCAUCAGCCAUGGCGCGGUGAAUACGUUCCCGGGCCUUGUAC